rnacentral:rRNA from 1 species
CCUACGGGUGACUGCAGUGGGGAAUAUUGCACAAUGGGGGAAACCCUGAUGCAGCGACGCCGCGUGAAUGAAGAAGUAAUUCGUUCUGUAAAACUCUAUCAGCAGGGGAGAAAAUGACGGCACCUGAGUAAGAAGCUCCGGCUAACUACGUUCCAGCCGCCGCAGUCAUACGUAGGGGGCAAGCGUUAUCCGGAUUUACUGGGUGUAAAGGGAGCGUAGACGGCCGUGCAAGUCUGGAGUGAAAGGCGGGGGCUCAACCACAGGAAUGCUCUGGAAACUGUACGGCUGGAGUGCAGGAGAGGUAAGUGGAAUUCCUAGUGUAGCGGUGAAAUGCGUAGAUAUUAGGAGGAACACCAGUGGCGAAGGCGGCUUACUGGACUGUAACUGACGUUGAGGCUCGAAAGCGUGGGGAGCAAACAGGAUUAGAUACCCCAGUAGUC